CUAGCGACUUCAGAGUUUGAUCCUGGCUCAGGACGAACGCUGGCGGCGUGCCUAACACAUGCAAGUCGAACGGAACUAUUUUGACUGAUUCCUUCGGGAUGAAGAAUUUUUAGUUUAGUGGCGGACGGGUGAGUAACGCGUGAGUAACCUGCCUCUGAGAGGGGAAUAACGUUCUGAAAAGAACGCUAAUACCGCAUAACACAUAUUUGCCGCAUGACAGAUAUGUCAAAGAUUUUAUCGCUCGGAGAUGGACUCGCGUCCGAUUAGUUAGUUGGUGAGGUAACGGCUCACCAAGACCGCGAUCGGUAGCCGGACUGAGAGGUUGAACGGCCACAUUGGGACUGAGACACGGCCCAG
rnacentral:rRNA from 1 species